ACGGCCAUACCAUGAUGAAAACACCGGUUUCGUCCGAUCAAAAAAGUUAACAUCAUCGGGCGCGGUUAAACCUGAAAGGGUGACCACCUGGGAACACUGCGUGCCGUUG